rnacentral:tRNA from 1 species
GCCCGCCUAGCUCAAUCGGAUAGAGCGUCAGACUCUUAAGGCGGGUUCUCCGGGAUAAUCUCGGGGUUAGAACAUGGUCAUGUGAUCUGAAGGCUGCGAGUUCGACCCUCGCGGUGGGCU